CCCCAAGACCCAAUCCGGGGUGGCCAUCGCCAUCUUACUGGGCAGCAUUGGAUGGUGUCUGGUCUCUAAUACUGCCUGGUAAUGAUGACGCUGGGGCCCUGCUCGCAGCGACGGGGCCG
rnacentral:pre_miRNA from 8 species